CCCCUUCCUUCUCUCUCCUCCCUCUCUCUCUCCCGUGCGACCGCUUCCUCCAUCUUCUUCAUCUUCUUCUUCGAAACCCAGCAAGCCGAAGAACCAGCGAAGCCGGAGCCAAGGCCGUCGUCGCCGCCUCACGCCGCACGCCGUCGUAGCUCCGCGACCGCCUGCACGCCCUCCGCCUUCCUCUCUCCCUUCUGCUGGUGUCGGCUUCUUCUUCUUCUCCCUGGGUGCUGUCCGACGCCCCAGCAGAUCUGGGAUGGACGCCGGAGCAGCCAGCGACUGCUCGCGACGCCGCCGUCCUCCGCCAUUCGCCACCGUGCUGCCGCCCUCGCGCGCCGCUGCUGGCCACGCGCGCCUUAACCGCCCUCUCGCCCAGCUCGCUGUUCCAGAGCUGCUGUCCAGCUCCGUUUGGCCAGCACAGGCCGCGGCUCAGCCGCUCCGGCCGCCGUACGCCACCAUCUCGACCUGCCGGAGCUCCGCUUGGCCCUAGCCGCCCUUGGCCGCCUCAACCGACGCCGGAUUCGCCCCCAACCAGCAGCGCACAGAGAGUGCAAAAAAUGGGUAUGGCAGUGGCUUCGUGGCCCGUUUUGGCCGGCUUCCCGACCCCGGAAGCUAGGCCCGCCUUGGAGUGAAUCGAUCCUCGCGUCGUCCUCGUCGAUUUGAGCCGCUCGGAUCGUUAAUCGGGUGAGUUUAACUCACUAAUCCCCGCUUAGUAGGUUACUAAUCCCCGCUUAGUAGGUUGAGCGGCUCGUUAAUCGGGUGAGUUUAACUCACUAAUUCCCGCUUAAUAGGUUACUAAUCCCCGCUUAGUAGGUUAAUCACGUUUUAGUAGGUUACUAAUCCCCGCUUAGUAGGUUAAUCACGUUUAAGGGUUGCUUAGUUUUAAUUAGUUACGUUUAGGUGGUUAGAUUAGUAUGGAUUAGUGUUUAUUAGUCAAUUGUGAUGUAAAUUAAACAAAUUGAUUGUGCAAUUAGCAAGUAUACGUAGUCUACUAUUUAUUGAAAGCAUCUCGGGAUUUUUUCCCGACCCUUAGUGGGCUUCAAUUAGGUUUUUCGGGCCUAAGUGGAAUUUUUGGUAUUUAAAUAUUAUUUUUCGGAAUUAAAUUAAUUAAUUAAUUAUUUUCCGAAAAUUCAAUUGAGAUGGCUAGUGACCGGAAUAUUAUGCUGAUGACCGUGGUGAAGUCCGUUUAUUUAAUCGGGCUUUAUUUUGAGCUAAAUUGAAUUUUUUUAAUAUUAAUUAUUUAAUUUUCGAAAUUAAUUAUUUAUUUAUUUAUUUUCCGAAAAUUCAACUGGAAUGGUUAGUGACCGGAAUUUUAUGCCAAUGAUCGUGGUGAAGUCCGUUUAUUUAAUUAAGCUUCAAUUUGAGCUAAAUUGAAUUUAUUGUAAUUAAUUAUUAAUUUUCGAAAUUAAUUAAUUAAUUAAUUAAAUUUCGGAAAUUAAGAUUGAGAUGGCCGACGACCGAAAUUCCGUGCUGAUUAUCGUGGUGCAGUCCGUUUAUUUAUUUGAGCAUUAAUUUGUGCUGAAUUGAAUUAAUUGGGAAUUUAGGAUUUAUUCCUAAAUUAUAUGAUUUUGGUUAUUAACGGAAAAAUAACCGGGCGUCGGUUUACAGCGCCAAAAAUAUGUAAUGGGCUGUUGAAAUUGUUGGGAUGUUUGUAAGUAAAAUUAUUAUAUUUUGGCUAAGGCCAACCGUGUACCCACACACGGCUAUUUAUUGAGAAUGAUAAAAGAUGGAAUUGAUUGUAUGAGAGAGUGGUAUACUAUAUCGGCCUACGGGC
rnacentral:lncRNA from 1 species